rnacentral:lncRNA from 1 species
AUUACAAACUAGACCGAGUCAGAUUUCUUCUACCAUCUAACAUACAUAUACAUUAUAUAUCUUAAUACAUAUACAUAUACAUAUAUGCAUACAUAUACAUAUACAUAUAUAUAUAUAUAUAUAUAUUAUAUAUUUAUAUAUAUUAUAUUCAAAUCACUGCCAUCGUUUUGAGGGCUUUGUUGAAGAACUGGCAGUGGCGACAGCAGUAAUUUUCCUCGCACCUGAUAUACAUUUUGAGAAAAAGAAAGGGUGAGGACAAGAAAUAAAAUUUAAGAAACAGAUAGAGAAGGGUCCAGUCAGACAGGGUAUUUGGAUAAAAUUAU